rnacentral:tRNA from 1 species
UGCUGUUGCUGGGCGGGCGUGCAAGCGACUUGUUCGGUCGCCGCAGGGUGUUCCUGGUGGCACUGGGCGUGUUCGGCGUCGCGUCUGUCGCAA